ACCGUCCUGCCUUGUUCGUUACGCGGUAUUCAUUUAAACCCACAAUAAAUGAAAGGGAAUGCGGGUCGGAAGGUAAGGUGCAUGCCGUUUUCCUUUACGGAAUUUAUAAACGGAAGCCGAAAUACCCUCCGCAGCACGACCAUCCUGCUAAAUAAUAGCGGGUUAUUAAUGUAUCGCGGACGGCAAAGGUGGGAUUUUU
rnacentral:other from 1 species